UGCAAGUCGAACGGAAACGAUGGAAGCUUGCUUCCAGGCGUCGAGUGGCGGACGGGUGAGUAACGCGUAGGAAUCUGCCUGAUAGUGGGGGAUAGCCCGGAGAAAUCCGGAUUAAUACCGCAUAGUCUAUUCGUAGUAAAGGGGGCCUCUAUUUAUAAGCUCUCGCUAUCAGAUGAGCCUGCGUCAGAUUAGCUUGUUGGUGAGGUAAAAGCUCACCAAGGCAACGAUCUGUAGCUGGUCUGAGAGGAUGAUCAG
rnacentral:rRNA from 1 species